UUACGGUGGCCGCGGGCUCGCCGGUGGCGGCCGGUUGUUGUCCCCGCUCGGCGGUCUGGCCGGGUCGGGUUAAAGCGGUGAGGUGAGAGGCUCAGCCGGGUUAUCGUCUUCGCCGUUUUUGGCGAUGUCCGAGGGUGAGCAGGCCCGGCGAGGCCCUAGCCCGCCUUUUCACCGACAAACCGGGAGCUGGGCCGGGCCCUGAGCCGCCCAGGGCAGCGGGGUAACCCCGCAGUAGGCGCUGAGGAGCCGGCGAGGCCCGGAGCUGCCCCGGCUGAGGAUGGGGAUCCUCUUCACCAGGAUAUGGAGGCUGUUCAACCAUCAGGAGCACAAAGUAAUCAUUGUUGGCCUGGAUAAUGCAGGAAAAACCACCAUUCUUUAUCAAUUCUCCAUGAAUGAAGUGGUGCAUACCUCGCCCACCAUAGGGAGUAACGUGGAAGAGAUAGUGGUUAACAACACGCGCUUUCUGAUGUGGGAUAUCGGAGGGCAGGAGUCUCUUCGGUCUUCGUGGAACACCUACUAUACAAACACUGAGUUUGUGAUAGUUGUUGUGGACAGCACAGACAGAGAGAGAAUUUCUGUGACUAAAGAAGAACUGUAUAAAAUGUUAGCACAUGAGGACUUAAAAAAAGCAGGUUUGCUGAUCUUUGCUAACAAGCAAGAUGUUAAAGAGUGUAUGACAGUAGCUGAAAUAUCACAGUUUCUGAAACUAACUUCAAUUAAGGAUCACCAGUGGCACAUUCAGGCAUGCUGUGCUCUAACUGGAGAGGGACUGUGCCAAGGACUCGAAUGGAUGAUGUCAAGACUUAAGAUCAGAUGAUUUUUAAUGACCUCUUUGCACAGACAUUGCUUAAAAAGAGCAGUACCCAGGAUUACCUUCACAGUGGCAGAAUUAAUGGAGGCACAAAAGUAUGUUUAAAAGUCCCACUGGAAUCUUGCAAAACAAGUCAUACUCUGUAUUAAGUGUUUUUCAGAGGAAGGCACACUUCUCUUUGAUAGCAUAAAAUGUAUAUAUAUCUAUAUGCAAUAGAUGGAACUGGGAUGGGGAACAAAACAGAUUACGCUACUUGAAAAGCUGAAAGUGACCCCUUGAUGAUGUUCCCACAGAAGGUCCAGGGCAGUACUUCUUGAAAAUAUAACUCCCUUGCAUGGUCCCCAGGUGAGUUAUAAAGAAGUGUCAGAACACUAUGUGAUUAUCUUUUCUUACUGUAGUACCUAAUGGGAUGGAUGUCCCAUACAGAAGUUGUUCAGAGUUACCAUUUUAAAGAAUACAGGCUUUUCAGUGGGAUGACAGUUGGAUGGUUUGAAAUGUCAUCGGUAUUGUGAAAGUGUACGUAGCCUUAAUCAUAGGCUUUUAUGCUGGACAUGUAUGUUUGGGCAGUAUAGCAAAAUGAAAUAAAAUUUUGUUUAAGAUGUCCUUCCCUUUCUUAGCUCGUACAUCUGGUAAGGAUGGAAAAGACAUUUUAAAGAAAAAGCUUAGUUUGAACUUUUUAAGGUGGUUAUCUUUGGUGAUGGGAUAAUCUAGUCAGCGUACCUGCCUUCCCAUUUGCCUGCUUCACUGGGGAUUAUGUUGUGAAUUUGGGGAGAAGAAGGGAGGCAAUUUCAAAAGUCUGUAUUUAACAAAGGCAGGUAAAGAAUUUAACUUUUUAAUAUAUUUUUGGUAUCUCUUUAUGAUGCUCACUGGCUAGGGAAUCUGCUGUCUUUGUUAAACAUUUUAAUGUGUACAUGCAUAUAUUUAUAGUGCAUGCACAUAGAUAUUGGUAUUUAACUGGUGUAUUGCAAAAUGUAUAAAUGUUCAAAGAAGUAACGAUUUAAUGCAAAGACUCUCAGUUCAUCUGAUAGUAUCUUCAAGAAACGAGCUCUGUUCACACUUGCAUAUGAAGUGGAAUUGUACGUUUUCUAGUCUUAAAAAAGAAAAAGCAGACUUGCUUAUAAACCUAAGUGUUUGGUUUUUGAGUCUUAUGUCUUCCCUUUCAUCCCUUUAAAAUAUUUUGCUUUAGUAUUGUUAAAUACUGCAUAUUUUUGCCUGAAUCUGCACAGGUUGUAUGUGUUGGGUUUUUGUUUGUUUUUAAGAAAAUGAGUUGUUCCUGUUGAUGAGAGAAAACUCAUGGAGCGGUAUUCCGGUAUCCGCUUCUUGCUGAAAUUUGCUGCUUACUGCCUCCCUUAAGUUUGUAGGACUUAGUACGUCCAUAUAAGGAAAGUGCGGUGGUUUCUUCCAGGUACGGCUUAGGUUGCAACCAGACAUCUUAUGUUUACACAGAAGUAAACUUAAGUUUACUCUUUUUCCCUCUCAGUAUCAUGGCCACUUCUAGUUUCUGUGGCCUCCAAGGUACUGCGUGGUUCACUUCAUCUUUGUUUCACAAGUGGCAACAGACCCUAGUAGGGAGUUGGAAAUAACUGUGCAUGUGAAGACUGGCUGUUAAAACAAUGUCUUUUGUGCCCUAAAGGGUUUUUAAUCCGAAAAUUAAGUCGUCUCUGUGUUGGAUGGUAAACAAUCCAGCCUUAACCUGACUACAAAAAAGGUGUGUGUCGUGUCACGUAUGAUGAUGAGUUUUCUAUCUAUUUUGUGAUACCAUAGUAUUUUAGAGGGUAGAUAUGCUCUUCAGUAGCUAGAAUUCAGUGGUGGCCAAUGCUUACUGACACAUCAUGUGCCUGUUGCAUUCUUGACUGGGGCUUAGAAAUCAAAGGAAGACACCCCUUCAUUUUAAAUGCUGGAUUUGCAGUCUCUGUUAAGGAUGAUGGAUUUUGUCUAUAAUAGCUGGGCAACUCUUUGUCACCCUGUUGUAAACGGAGAUGACGAUUCCAGAUUCUUACCUUGCAUGGUUGGUGUGAUCGUGCUUUUAAGUGCAGCGAAGCAUAGCGAAAGCGGAAUAGCGUUAUCCGGAUGUUGCAGUGGAAGCUUUUGUAGGAACUGUUGUCUGCCUGGAGGUUCUUUGUGAGAACAAGUGUGUUUGCUCAGAUACUAACAAGAUGAACGUUAGAAGAAUAUACAAAUAUAUACCCUCAUGGUAGCGUUGUGGCUGUGACGGUUCUUUCCUAUACACCUUGCCUUUUGUGUUGAGUUAGAAAUGUUUUUAAAUUUAGUCACCUAAUAGAGCUGGAGAAGAGCAGACAAAUUCUUGAAUGCACAAACCCUUUUUGUAUGUGCUUCUUGUUUACAGCUUUUUUUCUUUUCCCUGUAGGACAAUUCACAUUUUUCUCACAACUCUGUCCAUAGAAAAGCAAGUUAGCUGCUUUCAACUUCACUGGGUUAUUGUUUGGAAGUGAUUGUCUUAACAUGAGUCAUGACCUUGAUUUGUAUUGCUGUUGUGUUUUCACCCCGUGUGUGUUGUGUUGCCUUGGCUUUCAGCUAAAGUUUAAGAUUACUUUGCCUUUGUUCUUCAUGAAAUUCCUUCUUAGGAUAUUACACAGAAAAAGGGAGGGGUCUUUAAAAAUGGUUAUUUAAGUUUAUGCUGCAGAAUGCCAUUUUACUAGCAAAAAAACUAUAGCAGUAAGUCAUAUUUCAAUAAUCUAAUGUUUGAAAUGUUUCUUUUGGCUUAGCAGAUAAUAAACUUGGUAAAUCAUGUCUAUAAUAUGCUGCCUCGGUGAUCUGAAAAUUAUGCAGGUUUUUAAUUGUGAGGAAAGGUGGACUAGAGAGCUUGGAAAAUGUGAACAGCGACCUACCUAGCUUCAUUUUUUCAUUUUUUUAUUAUUUUUGUUUCCAGGGAGGCUUAAUAGCUGUUUUCCUAUGCAUUAUACAGUAUGUUCCUAGGUGUACGUGUGCAUGUGUGAAUGUUAAACAUAUCUGAUGGGCACCUUCUACAGUCUAUGCAGUUCAAGUGCCUAAAACUAAGUCAGUGAUCAUUUUUUUUCUUCCUAUGCUACAAUUUCCAUUUUUUUAAAAAUAGAUAUAUUUCUAUAAAAGCAUCUAAAUGUGUGUAAAUGAGUGUUUUUUCCCCUCCCUACACACCGAUUUUAACAUGCUUUAUGAUAAAUCUAUUUGUUACAGUUCUUUCUGUCCUCUACAUUCCAGGCACUUUUCCAUUUAUCAGGCAUCACAUAUCUAGCUUGCUUUGUGAAAGGAAAUACUAAAUUUGUCCUUGUAUCAGAUUGGUUAGCUGGAAUUCUUUUCAAGGAACUCUUUUUAAAUAACUUAAUCCAAGAAUACUUGGCCUUGUAAGCAUCCUCAUGUAAGUAGUUACUUUUUAAUUGGCUAGUAAGACAUUAACUUUGCGACUGUCAGGCCAAUUAUGUCUGAAAAAUAGUUUUCAGCUAAUUCAGAUGAAUGUAAUGUGAAGCCUUUAGAUGGUGCAUCAUUGAGCAUUACAGGACAAGAAUGAUUUGAUGUCACAAAGAAUGGCACUAAGAAAGAAAAAUGUCUUUGCAUAUAGUUGUGAUAUGUAUUAUAAAUGCAAAUGUGACUUGAAUAUAAUUGUUGCAGUGACUAUAUUAAAUGUACAAAAAUGAGAAAUUAUAAGUGGUUGCCACUAACUUUUUUACAGUGUGCUUUAGAAUCAUAAGCAGAAAUUAUAUUCUUGCCUUACUAGGAUUUUACUGGUUAAUUUUUAUAUUGUACAGAAACUUUUUUUGAAAAUGUUCUUCACAUCAGAUAGUAGCCUUUAUUCAUAACAGGAUCAUACUUGUGUACCACCCUUAGCCUUUUAAGCCAGAUUUGUUGUGAGUAAGGACACAAGUUGCGUGGGGGUUUUUUUAAGCUUUUCCUAUUUGUAAAUUUAGAAAACUUAGCUGAUACUGAAUUAAGUUAGAAAAUGCUGCUUUACCUAGAAGGCUAUAAAUCAUUCUUUAUAAAUCAUCAGCUCAGUGUUAAUCUUGUCUAAAUACUUCCUGCAUCAAACACUGUGGAGGGUAGAAGAGGUGGCCAAGAAAAGACGUAUUCUCCUGCGGAGAGAUUCAAAGAUAAAAAAACCACACCAAACCAAAACAUAAAACCUCACAUUGGAAGGCCUGAGCACUUUUAUGGCUGAUAAAUUGAAUAAUUGGUAGUAUAUGAUAGAGGAAUGGCAACCGAUCCCGUUUAAACUGUGUCUCUGUUAUGUUUUCAUGAAUGUUUUCAACAUGUCCUCAACUUUCUUACUACAUUCUUUUCCAAACCCUUUAAUCCUGUAGCCACAGUCCUGUACUCAGCCUGUACGUGCUGCUCAAGAUCCAAGUCUGCCCUUCUGGCUCCACGGGGAGGGGGAGCAGCUGUCGGAGGGAACCAAGCUCUUUGUCCUUGGACUCUACCAAAAAAUGCUGAAUUCCAGUGGUGUACCACUCCUGCAUAUUCACAUGUCACAUGCUGGUAUUUGCAGCCUUGUGAGUGGUGGGGGAUUACAGAGCAGUUCUUGCAUGUGUCUGCCAGGUGCAUAAGAGAAAUCAAAACUGCUGUGAGUUAAUAAAGUAAUAAAUUGUCGUCGAUCCUUGUGUCGUGCCUAUACUUGUUCACGACUAGCACUGUGCAAGAUGUCACGAAGGAGCCAGUAGCGCAGUUCCUCCACCCAUUGAUCGGUCGUGGAGGGUCUUUCUGCUGCACUGGCAGCAACCCAAGUCCAGUUGCAGACAGCAAAUCCCAGCGUCGCUUGCCCUCUGGAUGUCUUGUAUGAAGAACCCUUUAGUGAUCUGUGCGCUGAUAAACUGCUGCAGCCAAACCCUAUUUUUAUCAGUGGUGGACUAUUCCUUAAAGGUAAACUCCUACAGAGAGGAACAAGCCUGUCUUCGCCAUCCUGUGGACAAGAACGGCCUGAACCCAGGCAGAAGUUUUUCUACCAUGUGUUUAGACCAUUAAUUCUUACCUUUCCUGGUGCCUUUAAGGAGAAUCCUGGGAUAAUGCAAAAAAUGCAUGUAUUUUGUAAGUUAGGUAGGUCUUAACUGGGAUAAGGUGGGAAAAUCCCAUUCUUACACGGGAUUUUUGCUGCCAACCAGCAGCGACAGCUGCUAUUUCAUGC